rnacentral:lncRNA from 1 species
AGGUCCGGAAUGGAUCCUUGGCAUCAGGAAUGGAUUUCAGGGUCAGGAAUGGAUUCCCAGAGUCUGGAAUGGAUUUGAAGGGUCUGGAAUGGAUUCCCAAUGGUCUGGAAUGGAUUCCCAAAGGUCCAGAAUGGAUUCCCAAAGGUCAGGAAUGGAUUCCCAGAGUCUGGAAUGGAUUUUGGGGUCAGGAAUGGAUUCCCAAUGGUCUGGGGUGGAUUCCCGAGGGUCUGGAAUGGAUUCCCAAUAGUCUGGAAUGGAUUUGAAGGGUCCGGAAUGGAUUCCCAAUGGUCUGGAAUGGAUUUCGGGGUCAGGAAUGGAUUCCCAGAGUCUGGAAUGGAUUCUGGGGCCAGGAAUGGAUUCCCGAGGGUCAGGAAUGGAUUCCCAGAGUCUGGAAUGGAUUUCAGGGUCUGGAAUGGAUUUGGGGGGUCCGGAAUGGAUUUCAGGGUCAGCAAUGGAUUCCCAAGGGUCCGGAAUGGAUUCCCGAGGGUCAGGAAUGGAUUCCCAAAGGUCCGGAAUGGAUUCCCAAAGGUCCGGAAUGGAUUUCAGGGUCAGGAAUGGAUUCCCAAAGGUCCAGAAUGGAUUCCCAAUGGUCAGGAAUGGAUUUUGGGUGGUCAGGAAUGGAUUCCCAGAGUCUGGAAUGGAUUUCAGGGUCAGGAAUGGAUUCCCAAGGGUCAGCAAUGGAUUCCCAGAGGUCUGGGAUGGAUUUUGGGGUCAGCAAUGGAUUCCCAAAGGUAGGGAAUGGAUUUUGGGUGGUCAGGAAUGGAUUCCCAAAGGUCUGGAAUGGAUUCCCAAAGGUCAGGAAUGGAUUCCCAGAGUCUGGAAUGGAUUUUGGGGUAAGGAAUGGAUUCCCAAAGGUCCGGAAUGGAUUUUGGGUGGUCAGGAAUGGAUUUGGGGGUCCGGAAUGGAUUCCCAAAGGUCCGGAAUGGAUUUUGGGGGUCCAGAAUGGAUUUUGGGGUCAGGAAUGGAUUCCCAAAGGUCCAGAAUGGAUUUCAGGGUCAGGAAUGGAUUCCCAAAGGUCCGGAAUGGAUUCCCGUGGGUCAGGAAUGGAUUCCUGUGGGUCAGGAAUGGAUUUGGGGGGUCCGGAAUGGAUUUUGGGAGUCAGGAAUGGAUUCCCAAAGGUCCGGAAUGGAUUUUGGGUGGUCAGGAAUGGAUUUGGGGGUCCAGAAUGGAUUCCCGAGGGUCUGGAAUGGAUUCCCAAAGGUCCGGAUGGAUUUUGGGGGGGUCAGGAU